GUAGUAUUCCCUCCGUCCCAAAAUUCUUGUCUUACAUUUGUUUAGAUACGGAUGUAUCUAACACUAAAAUGUAACUAGAUACAUCCGUAUUUAGACAAAUUUAAGGCAAUAAUUUUGGGACGGAGGGAGUACAAA
rnacentral:pre_miRNA from 1 species